rnacentral:rRNA from 1 species
CCUACGGGCGGCAGCAGUGAGGAAUAUUGGUCAAUGGUCGGGAGACUGAACCAGCCAAGCCGCGUGAGGGAUGAAGGUCCAGAGUAUCGUAAACCUCUUUUGUCAGGGAACAAAGGCGGGGACGUGUCCCCGGAUGAGUGUACCUGAAGAAAAAGCAUCGGCUACCUCCGGGCCAGCAGCCGCGGUAAUACGGAGGAUGCGAGCGUUAUCCGGAUUUAUUGGGUUUAAAGGGUGGGCAGGGGGGCUGUUAAGUCAGCGGGAAAAGCCCGGGGCCAAGCCCCGGCCCGCCGUUGAAACGGGCAGUCUCGAGUUGGAGAGAAGUAUGCGGAAUGCGCGGUGUAGCGGUGAAAUGCAUAGAUAUCGCGCAGAACUCCGAUUGCGAAGGCAGCAUGCCGGCUCCACACUGACGCUGAGGCACGAAAGCGUGGGUAUCGAACAGGAUUAGAUACCCCGGUAGUC